GCUUCAGUGUGCAUUGGUUAGCAUGUAUUCUCUAUAAGCAUGAGACACGGGUUCGAUUCCCGCCUGAGGUU